CACUUCCUCGUGCCCCGUCGUCUUCCCUGCCGCUUUCCCCGUCAGCAUUUCGAGCAACAGCACGCCAAAACUGUACACGUCGGAUUUUUGAGUGUGUUUCCGUGUCUCUAUGGCUUCAGGCGCUCUGUAUCCUAAGCUUCUUGAUGGGAGCAAGGUGUGGUGGCUCAUCAGAGGAGCUAUGCCGUAGUCCGAGACGCAGGCGUUGAGGUCUUGCAUUAAGAGGACGUUUGGUGAUUUGAUGUUACCGUGGAGGAGCUUGGCACCGGAUGAAGAGUGUAUGUGAGCUAUUCCUUUUGCAGCUCCUAAACAGAUCUUUAGCCUUUGUUCCCAGUCCAAUGCACCUCUUCCUCCUUCGUUGUUUCCUGCACAGCAUUCAUCUUAGAGCCAUUUUUGGUAAUCACAAAUAUUAUCAUUAGUUCAUUACCGUGAAGAAGCAUGGAGAAGUUGCCUCCUUGGUAGUAAUCAUACACGAGGAGCUUCUCGUCUUUAGAGAAGUAAUAAGCACGGAGAGGAGCUACAUUCCCGUGCGGGCUGAUCCUUCCCACAGCUUCCAUCUGCUGCUCGAACUCUCUUUUCCCAGCCGCUACUUCUUUAAGCCUCUUCACCACCACAGUGGUUCCUUCCUCUAAUAUAGCCUUAUACGUUGUCCCGUAGCUUCCUUUUCCUAGAACUUCAGCAGAGGCUCUGAGCAAGUCCUCGAGGUCGAAGUUGUAUGAGCUUCCUUCGAAGAAGACAAGCUUGUUCUUCUCCGCCUCCUGGACCCCGCUCCCGAACUCCUCCGCCUUGUUGUCACUCCUCCCUGGUUUGGCUUUCGGCGCCGCGGUGGUGCUGCUCUCUUGCCCGUUGUCUUUCUUCUUGGCGCAGCAGAGGGUUAGGAUGGCGAGAAGGAUGAAUAACAGAACCGAACCUCCAACUGCAAUGCCGACAAUAGCAGCAGUAGAGAGAACUCUUUUGCUUGUACCUGGUGGAGUCGGGGAAGGAGAUGGAGAUGGUGAAGUGGUGUUCUCCGGACAUGGAGUUAGAGGACCGCCGCAUAAAAGGGUAUUGCCUUGAAACGCAGAUGCUGGGAAGGACUUGACAGAAGAAGGAACUGAGCCGUUAAGGCUAUUGUAGCUCACGUUCAAGUACUUUAAGCUAGGAGGGAGGUCAGGGAUAGGCCCAGUGAGAGAAUUAUUCUGCAAGCUGAGAUCAGUGAGCUGAGUCAAGUUCCUUAGAGUCCCGGGGAUGCUUCCAGAGAGCGAGUUGGCGGAGAGAUCAAGAUUCACAAGGCGAGGAGAGAGAGCGGGAGGGAUGGAGCCAGAGAAGUUGUUGUCAUGAAAGUAGAGAGAUCUGAUGAAAGGAAGAGAGAGGAUAGCAGACGGGAUGCUCCCUUGGAGGUUGUUGGAACGGAGGCUGAUGAUCCUGAGAGCGUCAAGCUGCUCAAACGUCUUCUCUGGUAAAGGUCCGUAGAGUCCGGAGCCAGGGAGACGGAGGGCGGUUACACGGGCGUUGUUCUUGGAGCAGGUGAUGCCUGUCCAGGAUGUGCAGAUUGGGAUUGUUGUGUUCCAGUUGAGUUUGCGCACGUGGGGAACGAGGGAUGCGAACUCGAGAAGGGCUUGCUUGUCUGUGUCUAUGUCUGUGGGUGAAACAAAUGGGGAGACCAAAAGGAAAACGAAGGCUGCAACGAUCCUCAUCAUCAAAUCUUUUAGGCUCACUCACAUCAAAGUUUAUUGCUCGUUCACCUGAUAACUGCAAGAGAACACAAAACACUGUCAAGUUCUGAUUUUGAGCUACAUAACAGUUAACUUGUAAAUUGAGAUUGUAGCCAACAACACUUCAUAGGUAUUAGGACUAAAGAUCAACACAAUGUAAAGCUGCUAAAUUUACGAGUACCAUUGUUAUGAGCAAUUAGUUAAAAAGGUGCUAAAUUUACGAGUACCAUUGUUAUAAGCAAAUCAACAAAAACCCCCAAAUUAAAUUAAAAAGUUGCUAAAUUUUCGAGUAUCAUUGUUAUAAGCAAUCAUCAAAACCCCCAAUUAGUUAAAAAAAGGUGCUAAAUUUACGAGUACCAUUGUUAUAAGCAAUCAUCAAAAAAAAACCCAAUUAAAUUAAAAAAAAGUUGCUAAAUUUUCGAGUACUAAGCAAUCAUCAAAACCCCUAAUUAAUUAAAAAGUUGCUAAAUUUACGAGUACCAUUGUUAUAAGCAAUCAACAAAAAAAAACCCAAUUAAAUUAAAAAAAAGUUGCUAAAUUUUCGAGUACUAAGCAAUCAUCAAAACCCCUAAUUAAUUAAAAAGUUGCUAAAUUUACGAGUACCAUUGUUAUAAGCAAUCAACAAAAAAAAACCCAAUUAAAUUAAAAAAAAGUUGCUAAAUUUUCGAGUACUAAGCAAUCAUCAAAACCCCUAAUUAAUUAAAAAGUUGCUAAAUUUACGAGUACCAUUGUUAUAAGCAAUCAACAAAAAAAAAACCAAUUAAUUAAAAAGUUACUAAAUUUAGAGCUAACAGUGAGUAAAAUGUGUGCCCGCAUACCCAGAUCUGCAAUCUACAGAUGAACAUUUUAGGAAAUUUAAUCCAGCUAAGCAAAAACAGAGAAGUCGAAAUUGAAAACAAAGAAGAAAUCUUUUAGUAUUAAGUAUUAAGAAGCGAAGCUAAUAAAUCAAAAGUGAGAGAUAUAUAUAUAUAUAGAGAGAGAGAGAGACCUUUGAGGUGGGUUCAGAGGAGAAGCAUUGGAAGCUGAUCGAAGAAGAAGAAGAAGAGUGGGAGUGGAAUAAAUGCAAAAGAGGAAAGGAUAAGUGAGUGGAGGAGAGUAUCACUUUUUCAGCAACGGCAUUUCGUGAAGAAGAAGAUUGAGCGAAAGGCGAAAGCGGAAAAGAGUAGAGAAUCUGGAAUCGCCAUUAAACACAGAUUCAGUGAUAGAACAGUCAGAAGAGAGAGAAAGAGAAAGAGAAAGAGCUGCUAAAAGCUUUGGGUGGGUUUCUGGUGAAGGAGGGGAAGCUUCGGCGUGACGAAAACGGAGAAACGUAAAUCUCGAUGGUCAGUUUCAGAUUCCAAUCUCUCCCUCUCUCUCUCUUAUCUGCGAUUUGCUUUGCUUGUGAUGCCUUUGACUCUCUUAGAUUUUAAUUAGUAGCUUUAAUUAAUUAUCUGUCUUUUUGUUAAUUAUUAAUUUCCUAAACGAAUUUUAGCUUUUAUUAAGGGUGAGGGUGGGGGAGGCCCUUGCUUACGAUCUAGUCUGAGUUCCCAACGUUCAAUUUUUUCCCCAUUUUAAAAUCUGUAAUAAUUUUUGGUGUUAUUAUUGGAACGGGUCAACUGAUUAAUGAGAUUUUUUUUGAAUAUUCUAAUAGGUAGUGUGAGGAACCACCCAACUUUUAUAUCAAUGUGGCUUCUUAAUGAGAAAUUUUGGAAUUUUCUUAUAGGUUGUGUGAGAAAUCACCCCACUUAUAUUAAUGUAAAACAUGUAUAUGGCUUCUUAGGUGUUGACUGGUUUCCCCGCUACCACCCGCAACCGCAGCUUUUGCGGUUGGUAGCGGUUUACAGCGUUUCGAAACAAUCAAAUGAACCGCUUUGUACCGCUUCAAACCACUUUGUACCGCUCAAAAUCAAAAGCUCCUUCCCGCAAGUGUUUGCGGUUGCGGGCGGUUGCGAUUGAAAAAAAAAAUAUUAAAUUAGAUUUAGAUUUCAUAUAUAUCCUAACUAAUCCACAUCACGUACAUCUACCUAUAUAUCCUAACUAAUUCAUUUUUAAUUAACGUUAUAUAUGUGUAUAUUUGAUAAUAUCUCAUUCACGUUAACCUAAUCCACUUUCAAUCCAUUGAAAUCAUGGCUUCCAACCAAGAAGAAAGUCAAGAGAACAACGUAAGUGGAUUAUGCUUUUAUUCCAGUUUAUUGUUUUAUGAUUUCUGAUAUGUUUUGUUGUUUAAAUUCUCUGAAUGACCAGUAUAUCAUUCAUAUAUAUAUUUGUAUGUUUCGUAAUUGGAUAUAUGUUCACCUGGUCUUUGAAUAGAAACUACAAUGGUCAGAUGAGAUGACUCGUUUCUUGUUAGAACUGAUAACGCUGGAAAAACAAGAUGGAAAUUCUAAAGGAAAAAACUUGAGUGAGCAGGGAAAGCAAAAUGUUCUCAAAGAAUUUAAAAAACAGUUUCCAGUUGCGAUCACUUGGAACAAAGUGAAAAACAGACUUGAUACUUUGAAAAAGCAAUAUGAAAUCUAUCGUAGAAUUACUUUUGGGUCAACUGGUCUUGGAUUUAAUAGUAGAACAGGUAGUAUUGAUGCACCUGAGCAUUGGUGGAAAGACAAAAUCAAGGUACACAUAAAGCCAUGUUUUCACGUUNNNNNNNNNNNNNNNNNNNNNNNNNNNNNNNNNNNNNNNNNNNNNNNNNNNNNNNNNNNNNNNNNNNNNNNNNNNNNNNNNNNNNNNNNNNNNNNNNNNNNNNNNNNNNNNNNNNNNNNNNNNNNNNNNNNNNNNNNNNNNNNNNNNNNNNNNNNNNNNAAAUCCAAACCUAGAGAAGUCAAGUUUAAACGUACCAUAUGCCUGAUGGCCAUAUCAAGUGAAUUUUUUGAGAAUGACCUCCCAAGCCCGUUGUUAUUAUCAGCGACAGUUGAAGAAGUCUUCAGGGUUCUCCGUGAAGUUACAUCUGCAACGUUUGAAAUCCUCCGAGGCUCUGGUGCAUCCAUGUGGUGUUGCAGUCCAUUACCACCACCAUAACGGCCUUUUCCUUGAGUCUCUGCGACUCUUCCUCUCGUCACAACAGGAGAUGAGUUCCUUCUCGUCAGUGGACCUUUUGGUUCUGGACUUGCCUUCGCCGUGAUGCUGCUACCAGCUGCUGGUCUAGACCUCCCAGCUGAUACUGAUGUUGUGCCAGUCAUACAAAACGCUUAAUAACGCUAGAAACUGCAACUACCCGCAUUCGCAAACUCCCGCAACCGCAACCGUAACCGCUGCGUUUGAACCGGUCAGACUCUUAAUGAGGUGAUUUUUGAAUAUUUUAGUAGCUAAUGUGAGAGAACACUCAACUUAUAUUAAUGCAUAGAAUCAAAUGUGUUUUUUUUUCUUUUUUAAAAUGAGAAGGAUAGUAUUUCAAGAUCAAAAUAGGUAUAAGGAAAACAACAAAACUGGGGAAUAUUUAAAUUCUGCUGCAAAUUGAGCUUAUUAUCAUUUGAUAAUUUAUAGAACUAAUUUGAUUUUUUUUGGUAAGGUGGGGACUAUCUUUCAUAAAAAUGGACCCCUGAAGGGAAGGAGUUUGGUAUGUGACAUAAAUGAGGGUAUGAUACGGAGGUAACAUUGAAAACAACGAAAUUUAAAUCUCUUCCUUCAAAUAUCAAACUGUGUCAUUAAUGAAAAGUCAAUUUAUGGAAUAAAACUACAGAAACUACUGGCGUUGUUGGUUGUGCUUUGCUGUCUAUCAUUAUUAACUUUAGCUGCAUCUCAGAUUCAUCACGUUACGCGCAUGAACCUAUGUUUCGUCUUUCACAUUCUCAUUGCUAUAUUAUAGUAAAACUGCCAAGAAGAUUAGAAUUUUAGGUCCCACGUUACGUUACCCAUCUCUUAAAAAUAUUACAUAACUACAAAGUUACAAACCUUACUCAAGAAUCAAUAACCAAAGAACCAAGAAGUCAAGAACCCUUAUAUCUGAUAAUCCGUCUCUUUCCACACCAUUGACAAGCAAACAAAUUGUGUGUAAUAAAUAAAUGAAAAAGAGAGAAAAGUGGUUUUCCAAAGAAAGAAAAAAAGUUUGUUUACUUGUGAUGUGUGUGUGUGUGUUAUAGUGGGCCAAAGGGCUCAGGAAGAAGCUCGAAUCCUCCAUUAUCAAACAUGAGUCCGUGAUCUGAUGACCUAUCAUCGAUGCUAUGUAACCAGUUUGUGUUCUUGACGUCCUCCUUCAGCAACAAAGCGUCAUACCUCGAGCUCUCAUACAUGUCCAUAUCACUCAGCUUCCCCAUCAGUCUUCUUCCAUCAGUUGCUUCGUUCCCAUUCUCUGCGCUGCUACUGCUAAUAGAAUCCGAAAGGUUAUUUACUGAACGGAUUGGCUGUAUCUUGGACGAGGCUUGUCUGAUGCUCUGAGGGAACAACGUCGUGGUUGAUAGUGCACAACCGUUUGACUUUCCGUUUCUUAUGUCCUAUACGCAACACCAAAAUGUCGAGAUAUUAACAGCAUGAUAGAGAUUUUUAAAUGCACGAGUCACUUGCAGCGAGAAGUAUGGAUGGACGUUUUUACCCCAAACCAAAAUCCCGACCUUAACCAAACCGGAAAAGCCAAAAUCCAAUUCGAACCGUUAUAAAAAAAUCUGAAACCAAAGAGCUAUGUACUUUCGGACCGAAAUCCGAACUAGGAUCCAAAAAUAUCCGAAAUUAGUUAAAUAUGUUAGUCUCUUUACAUAUGUUAAGGCAGUCUAGAUAUUAUUUUUUUAAAUUGUAGUUUGUUUAUUUGUUAUUGUCAAUAUUUUUAGUUAGUUUAGAUAGUUUAAUUAGUUAGUAUUUUAGUCCAGUGUUUCUUUAAAAAAAUAUUUUUGUUCCAGACCGGAAACCGGAAGAAACCGAACCCAGUCCGAAAAUUACUAAAAUUCGAAUAAAACUUAUGAGCAUAGUACUGAAAAUCCGAAUUAACCGAAUUGAAUCCAACACCAGGCCUAACGAGGAGAGUCAAGUUAUACACGUACCAUGUGCCUGAUGGCCAUAUCAAGUGAAUUUUUUGAGAACGACCUCCCAAGUCCGUUGUUAUUAUCAGCGACAGUUGAAGAAGUCUUCAGGGUUCUCCGUGAAGUUACAUCUGCAACGUUUGAAAUCCUCCGAGGCUCUGGUGCAUCCAUGUGGUGUUGCAGUCCAUUACCACCACCAUAACGGCCUUUUCCUUGAGUCUCUGCGACUCUUCCUCUCGUCACAACAGGAGAUGAGUUCCUUCUCGUCAGUGGACCUUUUGGUUCUGGACUUGCCUUCGCCGUGAUGCUGCUACCAGCUGCUGGUCUAGACCUGCCAGCGGGCUGAUCCUUCCCACAGCUUCCAUCUGCUGCUCGAACUCUCUUUUCCCAGCCGCUACUUCUUUAAGCCUCUUCACCACCACAGUGGUUCCUUCCUCUAAUAUAGCCUUAUACGUUGUCCCGUAGCUUCCUUUUCCUAGAACUUCAGCAGAGGCUCUGAGCAAGUCCUCGAGGUCGAAGUUGUAUGAGCUUCCUUCGAAGAAGACAAGCUUGUUCUUCUCCGCCUCCUGGACCCCGCUCCCGAACUCCUCCGCCUUGUUGUCACUCCUCCCUGGUUUGGCUUUCGGCGCCGCGGUGGUGCUGCUCUCUUGCCCGUUGUCUUUCUUCUUGGCGCAGCAGAGGGUUAGGAUGGCGAGAAGGAUGAAUAACAGAACCGAACCUCCAACUGCAAUGCCGACAAUAGCAGCAGUAGAGAGAACUCUUUUGCUUGUACCUGGUGGAGUCGGGGAAGGAGAUGGAGAUGGUGAAGUGGUGUUCUCCGGACAUGGAGUUAGAGGACCGCCGCAUAAAAGGGUAUUGCCUUGAAACGCAGAUGCUGGGAAGGACUUGACAGAAGAAGGAACUGAGCCGUUAAGGCUAUUGUAGCUCACGUUCAAGUACUUUAAGCUAGGAGGGAGGUCAGGGAUAGGCCCAGUGAGAGAAUUAUUCUGCAAGCUGAGAUCAGUGAGCUGAGUCAAGUUCCUUAGAGUCCCGGGGAUGCUUCCAGAGAGCGAGUUGGCGGAGAGAUCAAGAUUCACAAGGCGAGGAGAGAGAGCGGGAGGGAUGGAGCCAG
rnacentral:lncRNA from 1 species